UACGAGGGGUCCAAGCGUUGUUCGGAAUCCUUGGGCGUAAAGCGGGUGUAGGUGGCUUUGUAAGUCAGGAGUGAAAGCCCCGGGCUCAACCUGGGAAUGGCAAUGGAUACUGGCAAGCUAGAGUGCGGUAGAGGGUAGUGGAAUUCCCGGUGUAGCGGUGAAAUGCGUAGAGAUCGGGAGGAACACCAGUGGCGAAGGCGGCUACCUGGACCAGCACUGACACUGAGGCACGAAAGCGUGGGGAGCAAACAGG
rnacentral:rRNA from 1 species